GUGCUCACUUCAGCAGCACAUAGACAACAUUGGAACCAUACAGAGAAGACUGGCAUGGCCUCUGGGCUACAGUGAUGUGCAUAUCUGCGAAGUGUGUGUAUUUUGA
ensembl:snRNA U6 U6 spliceosomal RNA